rnacentral:rRNA from 1 species
CCUACGGGGGACAGCAGUAGGGAAUUUUGCGCAAUGGGCGAAAGCCUGACGCAGCAACGCCGCGUGAUCGAGACGCCCUUCGGGGUGGUAAGGUCCGUCAGUGGGGACGAAACUUGACGGUACCCACAGAGGAAGCACCGGCUAACUCCGUGCCAGCAGCCGCGGUAAUACGGGGGGUGCAAGCGUUGUCCGGAAUCAUUGGGCGUAAAGAGUUCGUAGGCGGCACGUAAAGUCUGGUGUGAAAGGCAGAGGCUCAACUUCUGUACGGCACUGGAAACUGGCGAGCUAGAAUGCGGUAGAGGUAAGGGGAAUUCCUGGUGUAGCGGUGAAAUGCGUAGAUAUCGGGAGGAACAUCGGUGGCGUAAGCGCUUUACUGGGCCGUAAUUGACGCUGAGGAACGAAAGCCAGGGUAGCAAAUGGGAUUAGAUACCCUUGUAGUC